rnacentral:lncRNA from 1 species
UCUGACAUCGCCCGUUUGUCUUUUCACUCUCUCAAGGAGAGCAGUGAUUUUUUUUUUUAAUCUGAAAAAUCUUCAUUGAACAGAUAGUUGGAACAGGAGAAGGUCUUGUGGUUAGUAAGAGGUAUAAUUUGGGACAGAUUUCUCUAGCCCCUGCUUGACAUGUUCCAUUGGGCCAUUGGUCUGAGGAUUUCUUUGGAGGCACUUUCAUUUUUGUAGCGUACUUCUGGUUCUCAUUUCCUUUCCUCUUAUCCUGCUGUGUGACCUAGUGCCCUGAAGCUGACAUAUGGCUACAGCAUGUUGCCCUGGCCUUGCCCGCCCAGAAGUGUUCCAUAUUCCAAAAAGGCUGUUAGAAACUCUUUGAAGUCCAAGGCUUUUCCUUUUGUUAUUCUUUUAAAUUGUCAAUAAUGCUAACAUAGUCAUCUACACACA